CAAUUGCCACUGUUCUCCCCACACCAGAGGGCACCCAAGCAAAGGGACCAGGGGCUGAGGAGCAUUCCUGCAUCUGGCAAGGCUGAGAUGGGUUCCCUGGUGCUCUCAGGAGCCCCAGCCCAUCCCUCUGAACCCAGGUCCUGUGGCAGAGUGGCUAGAAGGAAAACUGAUUAUUAAUUCUGCUUUUUUUGCUUUGUCACCUUGGAUAGCAGAACAGGGCCUCAGGAGGGAGGUGCUGUCCCUGGGAGCAGAGCAAAGCUCCUCAGGCCUGUUGGGAAAUGCUGUCAAAGGAAUAGCUGAACACCUGAAAAUGUCUAGUCUUCCGAAACUUGAAAGAAGGAUCUGAAUGGUUAGAUCCUUUCAACAAUUUAAAAAAAAAAAAAAACCAACAAACUCCAUCAAACUUUGAUUCUGUUUUAAUUGCUAUUUAGUCGGGUUCAAGUUAGAGCAGUCCCAUAAGAGUUAAAGCAGCAAGAGACCAAUAAAGCUGGAGGAGGAGGGUUAAGGAAGGGUUUAAAUUUCUCUUUUCUCUGGGCAGGUGUGUUUUGGUGUGGGUUCUUUGGGCACAGGAAGGCUCCAGUGGUGCUCAGGUGCCUGAGGCUGAAGGUGGCGGGAGGCGCAGCUGUGCCCGUGAGGCCGCGCGUGCGGAGCUGUGUCCAGCUGGGCCCAGCAGGAGCGGGAUGUGCCUGUGGAGCAGGGCUGGAGGCGGCCCUGGGGAUGUGUGGAGGCCUGGGGCAGCUGUGCUGUGCAGCCAGGCUGGGAGAGCCGGGGCUGUGCAGCCGGGAGAGGAGCGGGGGCCGGGGAGGCCUGACUGUGGCCUUCCAGUGCCCAGAGGGGGCAGAGAGCCAUGGGGGAAGUGUUUUAGACGUGGAAGGGGAAGGUUGAGAGCAGAUGUUUGCAAGAGCCAGGAGGGUGGUGAGUCAGCGGAACAGGCUGUGCAGAGAAGCUGUGGAUGCCCUGUCCCUGGAAGGUUCCAGGCCAGGCAGGACGGGGCCCUGAGCACCCUGAUGGAGCGGGUGGCAGCAGAACCAGGCCAUGGCUGCGGUGCCUCCAUGGCCUUCUGGAAGUUCAUGGGUGAGCAAAGCGCAGCCCCGUUAGCUGGGCAUGGAAUGUUGGCACCGGUUGCCAGGGGCACUCCUGCUCCCAAGGUUCUGUUGGCACGGAAUCUGUUGAGCCAGUUGACGGAUUCUCUACUGCGCAGCAGACACAGAGCAUCCGUCUUCUCCAUCCCGAGUGGGAAGAGAGAGCUGUCUGCUGACAUUUGUGAGCCAAACUCUGGAGUGGCUGUACAGGUUUGGAAGAGCGGUUUUGAGUCACUCCAAAAAAUCUGCAGUGGGCUGCCCAAAGGACACUAA
rnacentral:lncRNA from 1 species